rnacentral:rRNA from 1 species
UACAGAGGUCCCAAGCGUUGUUCGGAUUCAUUGGGCGUAAAGGGUGCGUAGGUGGCGCGCUAAGUCAGGUGUGAAAUUUCGGAGCUUAACUCCAAAACUGCAUUUGAUACUGGCGUGCUUGAGGACUGGAGAGGAGACUGGAAUUUACGGUGUAGCAGUGAAAUGCGUAGAGAUCGUAAGGAAGACCAGUGGCGAAGGCGGGUCUCUGGACAGUUCCUGACACUGAGGCACGAAGGCCAGGGGAGCAAACGGG